ACGCUGGCGGCACGCCUAACACAUGCAAGUCGAACGAAGUAGCAAUACUUAGUGGCAGACGGGUGAGUAACAUGUAGGUAUCUGCCCUUUGGCCUGGAAUAACACGAGGAAACUUGUGCUAAUACCGGAUAAGUCUUUACAGAGAAAGCUUUAUGCACCAUUGGAUGAGCCUGCACUUGAUUAGUUUGUUGGUGGGGUAAUGGCCUACCAAGACUGUGAUCAAUAGCUGAUUUGAGAGGAUGAUCAGCCACAUUGGGACUGAGACACGGCCCAAACUCCUACGGGAGGCAGCAGUGGGGAAUCUUGCACAAUGGAGGAAACUCUGAUGCAGCGAUGCCGCGUGAGUGAAGAAGGCCUUUGGGUUGUAAAGCUCUUUCGUCGGGGAAGAAAAUGACUGUACCCGAAUAAGAAGGUCCGGCUAACUUCGUGCCAGCAGCCGCGGUAAUACGAAGGGACCUAGCGUAGUUCGGAAUUACUGGGCUUAAAGAGUUCGUAGGUGGUUGAAAAAGUUGGUGGUGAAAUCCCAGAGCUUAACUCUGGAACUGCCAUCAAAACUUUUCAGCUAGAGUAUGAUAGAGGAAAGCAGAAUUUCUAGUGUAGAGGUGAAAUUCGUAGAUAUUAGAAAGAAUACCAAUUGCGAAGGCAGCUUUCUGGAUCAUUACUGACACUGAGGAACGAAAGCAUGGGUAGCGAAGAGGAUUAGAUACCCUCGUAGUCCAUGCCGUAAACGAUGUGUGUUAGACGUUGGAAAUUCAUUUUCAGUGUCGCAGCGAAAGCGAUAAACACACCGCCUGGGGAGUACGACCGCAAGGUUAAAACUCAAAUGAAUUGACGGGGACCCGCACAAGUAGUGGAGCAUGUGGUUUAAUUCGAAGAUACGCGCAGAACCUUACCAACACUUGACAUGUUCGUCGCGACUUUAAGAGAUUAAAGUUUUCGGUUCGGCCGGACGAAACACAGGUGCUGCAUGGCUGUCGUCAGCUCGUGUCGUGAGAUGUUGGGUUAAGUCCCGCAACGAGCGCAACCCUCACUUUUAGUUGCCAUCAUUAAGUUGGGCACUCUGAAAGAACUGCCAGUGAUAAGCUGGAGGAAGGUGGGGAUGACGUCAAGUCCUCAUGGCCCUUACGUGUUGGGCUACACACGUGCUACAAUGGUAUCUACAACAGGAAGCAAGACGGCGACGUUAAGCAAAUCCUUAAAAGAUACCUCAGUUCGGAUUGCACUCUGCAACUCGAGUGCAUGAAGCUGGAAUUACUAGUAAUCGUGGAUCAGCGUGCCACGGUGAAUGCGUUCCCGGGUCUUGUACACACCGCCCGUCACACCAUGGGAGUUGGUUCUACCUUAAGGCAAGGUUUAAAACCCUUGACCACGGUAUAGUCAGCGACUGGGGUG
rnacentral:rRNA from 1 species